rnacentral:sRNA from 1 species
GUAAACCAUGAAGUCACUGAAAUUUAUGGAAAACUUCAUUAGUACAGUGCCAUUCAACAUGUGGCAAAAUAUGGCAAAACUGAAGAGGGAGCUUGAAGAUCACAUUGAUAUGCCAGAACAAAAAGCGGAAAAAUUUUUUGAGAAUCUUCAAUUGGACAUUAUGAUUAUGGCAGCGGAAAAGGAUAUAGCAACGGAUGAAGUUGAUUCCGUGAAGCAAGCUUUGAUGAAUCAACAGAUGAUCACGCAACAUUUGAAAAAAAGAAACGAAUAUUUGGAGUAAGCUGUACUGGAAAGAACGGAGAAUCUUCAGUUUGUUUCCAGUGAUUUGGAAGAGGCAAACGAGAGGAUCAAGAUUUUGGACGAGGAACUCGACAAACUUGAAGCAAAGAUUUCAAAAACGGAGGAGUCACUUGUACAGUCUGUAAGCAUGCUGUUGGAAAAAGAUGAACAAUUGAAGACUAUCAGAAAAGAAAUGAAAAUUAUGGAUGAUGAGAGAAGUGCGUUUGACCAAGAAUUGACGCGUUUGAAAACGAGCAGACUUGAAAACGAGAAGAGCUCUUUGGCGUCCCGUGUGGAGUGCACAAUUUGCUAUCUGAGUUAUGACAAUGAAGCCAGAGUCCCAAGAGUUAUGAGUGAGUUUCAUAUAACUUAUUUGUUUCAGGAAAUUUCAUUGCAGAGUGCGGAAGUUGGCGAAAUAGCCACUUGUACCCGCACCCUGUAUAUAAUUUUUAAACAAACAAAAAUCAACAGACCCCGCUCCACUUUAUAUUCAAAAAUAAGUUUAAAUUUUUCAGAAUGUGGUCACACGAUUUGCCAUACAUGUGUUGAUCGGAUCAUCGAACAGUCCUUUGGAUCUCCGAAAUGCCCAUUUGACAGAAAGAUAAUGUUCGGACUCUUCACGACAGACAAUCCAUAUAACCUACCGCCAAAUCGACAUAUUAUGGGAUAAAUGAUAUAGUAUUUGAUUUUUUUGUUGUAAAAUAGCGAGUUUCAUGUUUUCAUAUGUACACAUUUCAUAGGCCCUUCUUAUAGAAUUAUUUACUUAGAUAUUUUAAACUGUGUUUGAAGUGAAAAUAAAUACGUUUUGCUUGUCUUUUCUAUGAAGUUUGGUUUUUUUUAAACAAGAUUUCGGAGCACCUCCAGUUCAGAUGUGCUUUGUGAGCAGUUCGCUUAACAAGUCAUCAUUCCUUGUAUAUAAAAAUGUCAUCAAUGAGCGGAGCGUAACACCGUGGAGACCCAUACAUUUUGGCGGAAAAUUCAAAUUUUCUGAAAAACAUUUUUCGCCGGCAAAUUUAGAUUUUUUUGAGAAUUUUUUUUGGAAAUUUCUAGAAAAAUCUGGAAACUUCUAGAACUGUCUUUAAAAAUCUGGAAAUUUCUAGAAUCCUUAAUAUCUUUAAUAUCCAUAAACAUGUCAGAACAAUGAGCUAACCCCUUGUAUCUUCAAACAUGUAUUCCGAAAACUCUAACAACCACGUCAACUUCUUGGGCUCUUCCCGUCUAUUGCUACUCAACAAGGUAUUCAAGAAUCGCGACCAAAAACCUUUUAUUGAAAAAAAAUAUGUUAACCGCGUUUUAAACACAAAUUAGCCUACACUAAAUGGAGACCUUCAAAUUUUUAUUCAUAAAAAAAAUACACAAGGUUCAUUUCAAAUAUAUCUUGAACCCACGGGCGACAUAAUCUCCGACAUCAAAGAUGAGGACGACACGAUCAUCACUGAAAAUUAAAUGUUACGGUUGUGAAAUAAAUUGCCGAGUGCCCGAACACUCGUCUGAUAGCGAAGUUCAAGAUAAUACACUGGAAAAUUAGCUAAUAAAUUGAAAACUAAAACUUACAAUUUCGGAAUCUCCGCAACCAUCAAGCUAUCAUAAUAAUUCGACUUGAUACGACGCAUACCAAUCUUUUCAUCAUCAUUCACAAAUCCAAAAUACAGUUUUCCAUUUGCCACAUAGUCUCCGAGAAUUUUCUUCUUUCGAUGCAACAUUACUCCAAGAGCCUUGGCAAGAUUCGUGUCGAGUGGGAAGCUCAUUUCUACGUAGCUACUGCAAAAAGUGGGAUAUUAGAAAAUACUUAAAAAUGGUGAAUACUUUAAAACUCACUGAACAAUACCGUACACCUCGAGCGGCUCCACAAGCACCAUCAUGAUUGCAACAGAAUGUUCGGCGACAGGAGUCAAUGAGUUCAACAUUGUAUGGUUGAAGGAAACUGGUCCAGAAGAGAGAGAGCAGUUAGUUUCAGACGAAGAAUCGGAUGUUCUGGAAAUACUAAUUUCUGUUCUCUGCCGGGUGCUUCUCACUCACUCUUUGAUCGGAUUUGAGCUUGCAGAAGAAGCCGGUUUCACAUCAAUCCCAAGAUCUUUCAUACCCAGUGCCUUUGCUCUUUGCUUCCGACAAAUAUCAUUUUCAUAGUUCUUCUUACUCUCUUGACGAGAUGAGCCCUUCCAGUAGCAUUGCUGAGAACUGCAUCCGUAUGUUCCAUCCGCGUUCUUCACAAUGUCGAAACAUGCGGUGCAAAGGUAAUGACCACAUCUGGAACCAUAUGGUUUUUAUUAUUACUAGGGUCAUGUUAAAUGGGUUACUUACCUUCAAAUCGUGCUCAGCAAGUUCGAUGGGAACUCCUUCUUGCAAGGUCCAUCACACUUGACAACCACUGGAGAUGGGGCGCGUCCUGAAAGUUCUAUCAUAUAAUCGGCAAGCGAAGCUUGUGAGGUGUCGGUGGCAUAGUUGUGAAGUGUUCGAAGCAACCGACACAUUCCGGGUCGGGCUUCAAAAAAAUAACCAAAUGAAGAUCUUGAAGAGUUGGCAGAGCUUUUCGAAACAGUCUCCAUAACCUUUCUAUAGUGUUCCACAUCAUUCAUCUCCACAUCCCAAAUGAUAGAAUAGGAGUAAGUGGUCCUGAAAUCCCAUAAAAAGUCAAUUUGAGUUCUAGAGAUUCAAACGAACUGGAAAGUUGCUGCAUCGUAGGCAACUCGAAGCUCUGAGGUCUUUGGAGAUUCGCAUAGAUCACAGAUGUACGAAGGGAUCAGAGGAUUUGUGCUAUAGUUUCUCAGAGACUUUGCAGAUUUCACUGUUUCUGGAUUUGGCUGAAAAUAAUGGAGAUUGAAGAGAUUUUUUUUAGGAAAGAAGCUUACUGAAAGGGGCGCCCAGUUUCGCAAGCUAAGAUUGUCUUCAGAGGACGACUGGAAACUGUCAUCAGAUGCUGUGGGUGGUGUGCUAGCCUGGAAAUAUCAUUUUAAUGACCCGGCAGAUGUCGGGCAACGGAAUUCCACGCAAGAACCCAUUGGUUAAAAACUAGAAACCCGGGAAACGACCUCUUCAAAUGGCGACGCCCAAUUCCGUAGGCUAAGAUGAUCGAGUGAGGCGAGCAUAGUCGGUUUCUGAUCUUCAGUCGAUUCGAAUUCAGUCAUCGUUUACCGCGCUUCCUUGUCUUUAUUUUAAUAUCGAGAACGAUGAAUAUUUGUAAAAUGUGAAAUAAAUUCAAAAGUCGAGUUGUUGGCAACAGCUUGUUUUUUUUGUUCUGAUUGCAAAAAAGUUCAUGUGAAAAUAGAAUGUGUCACGCAGAAUAUAUUGAAUCAAGUUCGGGAUCAAAUUAGAAUUCUCGGAAACCACUCGCUGCAAAUGCACGACAAGGAUCGCGCUCGGAUGAGAUCUUCCAAAUACUCGCGGAAAAUAGCCUAGAUCAGAACAUGACAAAAAAAGUAUUUUCAUUUAAAAGAGGACCUUUUAUGUAGGUUGGCCACUACACAAAAAUAAGUGGCAGAAGAACACUUUGAACUGAAAUAAAAUUGAUUUGAAAGAUGCUCAGUGGAUUUUUACUACGUUGGAAGCCCGUGAAAUUGCUUCAAAUUAUUGAUAGUUUUUUGAAAGUUCAGGAAAGGAAACAGUAAGGACACGAGAAAUGUCAAGAAUGGAAAAGUGGAAAAAUCAUUUCAAAGCGUUUCUUAUUGGAAAAUUCCAAAUUCCAAAUUUCCCUGUAAAGAAAACCCUCAAAAACAAGUUCAUUAUCGACAAUUUGAAGAACAUAUGUUUUCAUAUUUCAAGAGAUCUAUUUAGCGUAGCUCUUCUGAUAGGUGGACGACUUCUUGUACUGAUACUUUCCUGCAGAUGGAGCGGCGGCUGGAGCUGGAGCCGGUGGAGGAGGAGCUGGCUUCGGCGCUUCGGCAGUCUUUGGCGGCUUCUUUCCGAACAAUUCGUCGUCGAUGUCGACGUCAAGAUCCGUGUUCUUGUGGUUUCCGAUUGCAUCGACUGGCACGAAAGCUGAUUUGUCUGCCAUCUUGAUGUUUUCUGAAAUGGAAAAUUUCAAUUUUACCUCAGCCGAAAAAAGUUAAAAAUACCUGUUUUGCGUUGGAGAACUUGAUGUGAAGCCCAAACGUUAGCAAUAACUGAUUUCUAUUCAUUUUUUGAGUUUAUAUGCUAUUUGCCACGUGGAUUCCGUGAUGAAAAAAACAAUGGGACAGAUUUAUUCGAAACGUGAAUUUUUUAUUUUUUUGGUAUAAAAAUGUAUUUUUCUCUUUGUCUCUUAAAAAAAUCAAUAAAGAAACAAUGGCGCACUUUUUAUUGAAUAAAAAAGCCACUGUCAUCAUAAAUCCCCCAAUUGGAUUGAUAUCAGAUUGAUUGAGAUCGAUGGAGGAUGUGAGGGGAUUUAAAUACAAGGUGAAACACAUUGUCAAUAUUUUAUGCCUCAAAUUUUCUAUCUGUUUCAGUUUUAGUUCUUACUGGCAAAGUAACUGGAAGUUCGUCUUUGAAAGUUACAGAUGAAACGAAAACUUUUCAAAUAAAAGAAUGAACAACUUCAAUUUAAUUCGAGCAUGAAAUUAACAAAGCCUAUACAUUACUCCAAACUUUUCAGUAUUAACUGACCAUCAAGCAUGUUUAAAAAUUUUUCUGUAAAGCCUCCCUGCUGGAACAUCGAAUUUUAGACAAAUUGUGUUUUUGAAAAUGUUUACCGUUUCAAGCUAUCAUUAACAGUAACACAUUUUUAUAAUAUCGUUUCCCGGAUCUCCCUUUUUUUUCGAGGAUUUUGAAGAAAAAAUUAGAAAUGUUAUAAAAAAUUUUACGGUUUCACAAUAUUUAGAUUUUUUUGAAACUUUUUUUUUGAACAUUGGAUGAAUCUUGGGGAUUUAAAUACAAGGUGAAACACAUUGUCAAUAUUCAAUCAUCAACGAAAAUUGGAACUAUUCAUACAACUUAUUAAAUAUAUUCACAUUUUGUAAAAUUUAAAAAUGAAAGUUAUGGACUGAGAAGUUUUUUAUCAUGACAUUAUCAUAAGGAACUAUGUUGUAUAAGUAUCCAAAUAUUGAAAUAAUUUUUUUUUAUAAUCAUCAAUUUGAACCCACACCUUUAUCUAACGAUUUCAUGUUAGAAGGGGUAUGUGAUUCAUAUUAUUACAUUAGAAGUAGCAUUUGUUUUCUAGCAAGAUAUGAAGUUAGAUGUUAGAGAAAAAUGUCUAGUCUGCUCAAACUAGGUUUCAUAAUAAUAUCACGUACCCAAUGUGUGCGCAGUUGAGUUUUUGAACUUUCCAUUUUUUGCUUCACAUCAUCUAUUAGCUUGGUUUCCAUUAACAACGACGCCAAACAUUUCAUAAUCAGUCUGAAAUGUAUUUAAGUUGCUUAAUAAGUAUUUUUGAGGUUUAGUUAAAUCUCCCAGCAAAAUAUUUCUUUAGCUGUUAGGCAAAACGUUUUUCCUGCAAAUUUAACGCUCGCUGUCUCAUAGCAGAAAAACUCCUUUUGUUCUUUUUAAUUGAAAAAAUACAAACAACAAUUUAGGUUACUAGUCAUUAUAUUUUGCAACUACUUAUAUUAAUACACCUACGGGUACCUGGUAAAGCAUUAUAUUCAUAGUGAGAUUACAGUAAUCAUCACAUUUUCUAAGAAAUCCCCCUACCUGCUUUGGCGAAUCGUUCUAAAGUAGGCAAAAUUCGUUUUAGGCAGCCGGUUUGUGAUGGCCCUAUUGUCGGUUGCGCAUUUACAGCAACUGUUUAUCACACCCAUUUUUCCCGACUUUGAUGCCUUUGGCUUUAUCCAAUAAAUAUGAACCGACAAAAUACGUGCCAAAACGUUCUGUAUAUUUCAAAAGUUGAACAAUUUUUUAAAACCAAGAGCAACCGAGAUAUAAUCUGUCUAACAAAAGUAAAGCAAUGGUAAUAGAAGAUAAAUCAGCUUUCAGCACAGAAGAACCCAUGGUCUACAAUGUUUGUGGGAAAUUAGCCAAUUUCCUUUUCUUCAUCCUCAACUUGGGACUAAUCGUUAGUCAAUUUCGACUCUAUGUAAAAAAUUUAACUAAACUAUAGGUUGUUGGAGUAAUUAUCACUUGGUACUCCAUAUGGAUGGUACUUCAUCAAUUUGAAGUAACAGUUGCCAGAACAAGUCUUGUUAAUCUUUUGAGUGUGGACAAUAUUGAAUGUGUAAUAAUUAUUAACUGUUUCUUAAAAAUUGAUAAAUAUUUAUAUAUUUUCAGUUUUAUGUAUACCGGACAAUUUCUAUAAUGAUUGGGGGAUGUAUGGUAGUUCUCGGUUUCUGCGGCUGCUUCGCAGUGGGCUUUGGAAGCAAAACUGCGUUGUCCGUACAUCUCGUAUUGGUUUUUAUAGUUUUCGUCGUAAAAAUUGUGGCAAUUGUAAUGUUUUUAGCGAAUAAUGAUCAUGUGAGUUUAAUUAGUUUCUUUUGAAAACCUCACUAAAUCUAAAAAUGAUUUGUUUUGCAAUAACUACCAAAAAAUACCACAAGAAUUUUGAUAUUAGCUUGAUCCCUUUUCCUUUUCCCAAAGUCAUAAAAAUUGGACAAAUUUUCAAGAGUUCUCAUUAUGAAAUUCAGUUGUUUUGAGUCAUUUUGAGUACACUUAAGCAUUUUUGAAUACGUUUUUUUCAGCUUCGAAGAGAGUUUGUCGGUGUUUAUCGUGACGAAUUGGUUGCAAACUAUCAUAACAAUUCACGAACUAAAAACACUCUUGAUUGGGUUCACACUAGUGUAAGUUUCCCCAAAAUAUGUUAUAUCUUAAACUCAUUUGCAAUGCUCAAAUCAAACUAUUGUUUUUGACAUUUCUAGCAUUUGUUUUUAGUUGAAAUGCUGUGGAGCAAACGGUUGUGAAGAUUUCCUACCAGCCGGAAAUUUUCCAACAUCUUGUGAAUGUGGUACAAAGAAUGCAGUGGUACGUAUGGAAGGAUGUGCUCUCAUCACUUGGGCAGUAUUUGAAGAUGGAACACUCCAAGUUGCUUUUCUUGGAUUGAUCUGCAUGUUGAUUGAGCUUGGAUUGAUGAUUUUCGCCGCAAUAGUCAUUGAUAGAAUCAGAAGGGAACCUUGUGUAAUUCAGAAAGUUGGAUGAGUUUGAAUUCCAGUUGUUUGUUACUUUCGUGUUAAUAAACUUUCAAAACAUCUUCAGUGUUGCCUCUCAAAUAUUUCCUGAUAUAAGAUAAAUUCAAAAAGCUGGGCUAUCUAUGCUACAAACACGCCAACAGAAAGGCACAAAUGCAGGCAGGUAGUACUUAUUUCAAAAUCAUGACGACGCUGCCUUUUUCUUGAAAACUAAAAUUUACAAAAUAUAUAUUUAAACAUUUUCUGUUAUAAAUUCUCAUUUUUCAAAAAAAAAACAACUCAAAAAGUAGUUUGCACACUUCCAAUUCUUGAUGCUCCAUCCGCGACAACAGAUUGCUUUUUGAAAAUUGGAUGAGUUGAGUAGAAAAUCCAAGGGACGACUACAAAUUCAAUAUCAUUUCCAUAUGGCCGAAGAGCAAUAAAAUAUGCUGUAUAAUAAGGAUUGAUUAUAAAUAUUAGCUGAAAAAUAUAAUAUUGAAAGCAAUUUCUAAAGGAAAUACUUACCCCUCCGACAAAAUGAAAAAUGAAUGAAAACAGCAUUGAUAAAGUCGUUAGAGAAAGCGAUAGCUCAGCUUUUUGAACGAGAGCACUAUUUCGUUGGUUUUUCAUUUUUUCCAGUUUUAUAAAGAGCAUCAAAGUUGAAGUAGUGCAAAGGAUGAACCAAAAUAAUAAAUUUCCAAUAAGACCUUUUAUUAAUUUUAUCUGAAAAUUUGGAAACAUUGAUUUUAAGUGAAAAGCUCUAUCAAACAUCAAACAAAUUUCCACUAAACCAAAAAUAAAUGGCACCAAACUGAUAAGGGCCUAGAAUCUGUCGACAGAAUCCAAGAGCUGGAAAUAGGGUAAAUGUGAAGAACAGUGGCCAGAUGUAGAUGAAUGGAAUUGAUAAUUGUGUUAUCCGAGCACAAAGCUGUAAUUUUUAAUGUGUGUAACUAGUUUCAAAAAGCUCUACCUCGUCCUGAUUAAAUGGGUAGUAUAAUGAGACUAGCCGCAAUGUAGUCAAAAGAAAUGGAAAUAUCCAUCCAGUGUAUGUAAAGUAUGUUGAAAAGAAAAAUAAGACUUUCAAGAGAUGAUUUGGUUGUUGAGAUGCACACCAAGAAGUUAUAGCUCCAGUAAAUGGAAUUCGUGUUGUCAAGUAAUCAGAAAUCAUGUAGAAAAUACUCUGAGAAGUCAAAUUAGAAGCUUUAGAACAUUUGAAAAAACAAGUAAUGUCUCAAUUUUCGACUGUAAUCUGAGUUAAGAGUCAUGUUAAGAAGGCACGUCUUUAUUCCUGCCUGCCUACCGCCGAGUUUCAGAACUUUCUUAGUUUGAAAAUGGAAUUGUUAAGAUCAAUUUCACGUAUAUUUUGGCAGUAAACACAAAGCACACCGAUAUAUUCUUUUUAAAUCAGCCUCACCGUAAUCUGAGAUAUCGCAAUAACCAGAAACACAUGAGGAUUCAUUGUUCCAUUUCUAUUGCCUGAUGGAUUUUUAAAGUAACAUAUGCAAAUUUUUGACACAAUAACAGUUGUAGGAAUUACAUAAGUAAACGGAACAAGUGCAAGAAACACUGGGAAUGUGAAAAAUUCAAAUUUAUAGUUGAUAUAACGUGGGUCACCUUGAAUUGAAACAUUAUUUAACAGCUCCAUGCGGAAUUUAGAAAAAGGAAUAGGAGGAAGUUUUCACGACAACGUGUUGUGGAAAUAAUAGAUUGCCAGUCUUCAUGAUUAUAUGGUUGUAACCAUUCGUUUUUGAAAAAAAGAAAAGAAAAUGUCAUUACAACAUUGAACUUAUGUUGAAUAUGUGGGGAACCAGCCGUGGACCGCACCUACUUUUUGAGAAAACACAUUAGAUAUACGGUGUCUAUCGCGGACCUCGAUCGAUGUCUGCUGCGCACUUAGCAUAAGGUUUCCCAAAAUUUCGUUGCUCUGAUCAAAGAUCAAACUACAUAGGGACAGAAGGACACGCGCUUUAUAUAUGGUAAAUGAUUUACGACAAAUCGUUUAUAACAGGGCUGUGCGACUAUUAAUGUUGGCAAAGGCACAAAACGGCUUAUUUCAGUAUAAUAAUCUAAUUUUUUAAUCCAAAAUUACUGUAUAAAUGUAGAAAAAGGUUUGUUUCAUCUUACUAUUAAAAGAACAAUAAUUUUUGUUGAAAAGUUUCAAAAACGCCUCAAAUAGUGGCACUAUUACUACAAUUUCAAAGCAUACAUCAAGUUCUUAAUUGGAAAAACCGGUUCCUGACAUGAUAAACCAGCUAUCGCAAGCAAAAAAGUUUCAGAUCCCAUAUCAACAACGUCGUUUACGAUUAUGAAAGUUCGGGAUGCCUUCACCUAUAAAACUUUGAAAAUGGAACAAAUACAUUUUUGGGUAAAACAUUCUUAUAAAUAAGUAUUUUAUUCAUUUUAAACUUUUAAAAGAAACCGAUCAUGCCAUACAAUAAAAUAAAACUCUUUAUCAUGAUAAAUAACAGUUGCAAGUUUUCCAUCACUUCUCUCAAAAUCGAAUCCGUUCGCACAAUCAAAUUUAACAAUUCUACAACGGUAGUUUGAUCUGGAAUCAGGGAAAAUUGUGAUUUUUGAUUAUAAUGUGAGUAUUUUAUACAAUUCUUGCUUAAUAUAGCGUGCUCUUCGUUUUCCAUCAAAUUUUGAAUAUUUGACGGUCUUCAGUAGUACAUCCCAAUUAGGAAUAUAAUCGUCAUCAAAAUGAUAAAGUUUUAAUCUUGUUAAGUCCGGGUUUCCUCCUUUCAACCAGUGAUGAAUAAACUCGUUGGUUUGAUUUUCAGUCAACGUGUUUUGAUGAACGGAAAUGAGUUGACACUUCAUAUUCUUCAGGUCAUCUUUCGUGAAAAAGCCUUCUUUGUGACAUUCCAUCACAGAAAUAUCAAAAAGCUGAAUAAAGAUUUAUUUCUAUCAUUUCUACUACAUAUAAACUCACAAUUUUGUUAUUGAAAUCAGUACUCAGAAGACAAUUCAAUUUGAGUUUCUUUAUUGAACCAGUCUUUUCUAGUAGGAAUUGCAUUUCCUCGUUGGUCAAAAGCUCUGUAUUUCCAUAAAUAUGCAAAUCGGUGCAUUUCAAAAAUAGUGGAUCAUGAAGAAGCCCACGUACUUCCCCGAAACAGUCAAAAUGAACAUCCAAACCAAAUUCGGCAUUGGAAAACAGAUUCAUCACAUGGCUGAAUAAAGCUUUUGAAUGUUUGUCCAAUUGAGUUGAAAGGCUAAUUAUCUUUUUUUUUGAAUGAAAUUGCGCGAAGAAGUUUUAAACCAGAAUUGUUUUAUAAAACUUUUGAAAAGGUUUUUUUGUUGUGAAAAAGAUUUCAUCCAAAACAAUUCCGAAUUCAAAGGAAACAAUUUAUUAAAUUAUCCGAGUUCUUAAGUUAAACGUCCCACUCCAACCAAUCUUCUGUUUCUUUUUAAAAAUUGGAUGAGUUAGGUAGAAAACCCAUGGCACAAAAACUGUUUCACAAUCAUUUCCAAAAGGUCGGAGAGCGAUGAAGUACACCAACAUUGAUGGGAAGAUUAUGAACAUUAGCUGAAAAUUAGAAAAUCGGACUAAAUUUUAACUUUUCAUUUGGAUGCCUGACUGCGUGCUUACCUGGGGGUGUGCCAACUUUUUUUUUUUUAAUUUACGAGUCACGGCAGUAGGUAGGCUCCGGAAAAAUAAAUCAGGCAUUCUCGUAGGUACAAGAGUCUAAUCUGCUUCCGACUAUUUUCAAACAUUUUCAAAACAACUUUCCACUAACUUGAAUGAAGUUAGAGAGUUUAAAAAUUUGGUAGUCUACAAAUUUGGUACACCUGAAGCACUGCAACUUUUUUCGAACGAGGGACGAGGCAAAAAGGUUUCUAGGCCAUGGCCGAGUCCCCGACAAAUUUCAGCGGCCAUUUAUCUUGCUUUGUUUUCUGCGUGUUUUCUUUCGUUUUUCACCGAUUUUUUCCGUUUUUUCUUAUCAAAACUAAUAAAUAAAUAUUUUUUGCAGAUGCUAAAACAAUUUCCAAGUUAAAAAAUUGUGAAUUCAGUCGGCAAGUAGCAGUGAAAGUGGGCAUUGUAAUAUGAUGGAUUACGGGAAUACCAAAACUAAACUUUUUCUGAAACAUGGUAUAUAUGCUUUUAAGAUGCUGAAAGUACCUGAUUUUCAUAACGAGACCGCUGAAAAAGUUUGGAGAUUUUCAAAAUUCAACUUUUUCGGUGAAAAAGUCGAGAUUUUGGCACAAAAUGUUGAAUUUUGAAAAUCUCAAAACUUUUUCAGCGGUCUCGUUAUGAAAAUCAGGUACUUUCAGCAUCUUAAAAGCAUAUAUACCAUGUUUCAGAAAAGUUUAGUUUUGGUAUUCCCGUAAUCCAUCAUAUAACAUUGACCACUUUCACCGCUACUUGCCGACUGAAUUUACAAUUUUUUCAUCUGGAAAUUAUUUUAGCAUUAACAAAAAAUAUUUAUUUAUCAGUUUUAAUAAGAAAACACGGGAAAAAUUGGUGAAAAACAAAAGAAAACAAAGCAAGUACAAAAUGUCGUAAAAUGCGGUGUAUUGGAUUUUUCGCAUUUUUUCUCGGCCCUCGUUCGAAAAAAGAUGCAGUGUGAAGUCUUUCUCAAUUCGGACUUGUAGACGUAGGCAGGCAGGCAGGCAGGCAUUUUAAAGCCUGUGUAAAAAUUCAGAAUGAGGUCAACUCACGGCACACGCCAAGUUCGUGAUGUACGACAAAAGCAUUGAGAAAGUUGUCAAGGUAAGGGAAUAUUCAGCUCUUUGGAGUGUCGCGCUUUUUCCGUGAUUGCUCAUUUUCUUCAGUUUUCUAUAGAGGAAUAAGUUCAAUAGAGUGCACAGGAUAAGCCAGAAGAUCAUGUUCAAGACGAAUCCAACUACAAUUUUAAUCUGAAAAUUAUUUAGCUCUAUAUUUAAUACAAUUUUUGUAAAGUAAACUACCUCCAUCCAAUUUCCACUGAACCAAAUAUAAAUUGCACCAAACUGAUAUGGCCCCAAAAGUUGUCUACAAAAACCGAGAGCCGGUGCUAGGGAAAAUGAAAAUAUGAAUGGGUAGACGUAAAUGAAUGGGAUCGCAUAUUUUGAUAUCCGAGCUGACAACUAUAAACUGUUUUUUGUUAUAAGAUUCCAGAAAGGAAUUACCGAUUUCUGUCUUUGCGGGAAAUAAAUCGAUAUUACUCGCAAAGUUGAUAAAAGAGAUGGAAAAAGCCAUGAAGUAAAUGUGAAAUAAAUUGAAAGGAAAAAUAAGAUUUUUAGAAAAUGAUUUGGUUGUUGAAUUGCACACCAAGAUGUUAUAGCUCCAGUAAAUGGAAUUCGAAUGGUUAAGUAAUCAGAUAUCAUAUAUAAUAUGCUCUGAAAUUAAUAGCAAUAAGAAAAGUGAAAGAGUCUUAAAAUUCAAAUUUGUUUGGCAGUUCCCAAUCAGUUAUCUGUAUUUGAAUAUUGAGCAUUUCAAAAUUUUAGUUUCAAAUCAAAAAAUGGCGGCAAUAAAACUCACUGUAAGCUGAGAAACAACAAUAACCAAAAACACAUGCGGAUUCAAACUUUCCAUUCGUUUUUCGAACAAACUCCCCCAGAAAACCUUGAAAACUUUAAAUAUGAUAAAAACAGUAGGAACUAAAUAAAUAAUUGGAAAAGUUGCAACUAGCACUGGCACUGUGAAUAAAUCAAAUUUGUAAUUGAUGUACCGUUGGUCUCCUUGAAUUGAUACAUUGUUCAUAUCUUCCAUUGGUUCUGAUUUGAAGAUGAAAACCUAGAGAGUAGGUGCAAAAUGUGACAUGCACUGAAAGUUUGUGUGAUAUUUCCAUUAGUCUGGCAAACAUAAUUAUUAUGUCGGAAGUGUGUGCAAUUAUGACAAGAAUGUUGACUCAAGACUAAAACAUAGCGGUUUACUUUACAUGUAAUUUGCAUUUUUGAGAAAAAAAGAGAGGAUGUUGUACUUCUCGGGAUUUGGGCUAGCUUUCUGUAAAAAAUUUGGAUUUCUGAUUGGAAAAUUAUUUUCUUUUUCAAUUUCCAAAUAAUGCAAGAAAUCUAACAUUCGGGUAUCUCCAAUUUGCCACGAAACUAAUAAUCUUCCAAAAUUUAAAUAAAAAGUUUAUGUUACGAUGUUGAUCUCCGUGUAUUUUUUCAAAACAAUAAUAUUUUAUUCGAAUUAAACAUUAGUCGCUCCACCGUGAAAUAUCGAUUUAAAAAUUUCAAAACGUUGUAUGAAUAGUUCCAAUUUUUGAUGCAUCUUUCCAAAAUAAAAUUUUCUUCUUUUUAAAUGCAGGAUGUGUCAAGUAGAAGAUCCAAGGGCCGAAACAAAUUUCACAGUCAUUUCCAAAUGGCCGAAGUGCAAUAAAAUAAACUGCCAUUGUUGGAAAUAUUAUAAAUAUUAACUGGAAAAUCUUGGCAUGGAAACGCUUAAAAAAUUUUAAACCUUACUGCACAAAUCAGGGUUGUAACAAAUGACAAAAGCAUGGAAAGUGCAGUAAGCGAGAGAGAUAACUCCGCUCUUUGGAGAAUCACACUUUUUCGAUGAUUUUUCAGUUUUUUCAGUUUAAAAUAAAGGGCUAAAUUUGAAAUAAUGCAUAGGAGAAGCCAGAGGAUCAAAUUGAAAAUUGAACCAUUCAUUAAUUUUAUCUGAAAAUGUUGAUUGAAGAAAUUUCAAAUAAAAUUCACGAACAUCAAACCAAUUCCCUGUGUACCAAAUAAAAAUAGCACCAAAUUGAUAAGGACCCAAAAGUUGUCGACAUGUCCCGACUGCCGGUAUCAGGGAGAAUCCAAAUAUAAACGGGUAGAGGUAGAUGAAUGGAAUUGCAAAUUUAAUUGUUUUGGCGCAAACCUGAAACAUUUUCUAUGCUUAAUUUAGAUUGGGAUAAUCAUUCUUACUUCAUUAUGUUUCUGCGGGUAAUAUAAUGGAAUCAAACGCAAUAUUGAUAAUAGAAAUGGAAACUGCCAUGAAACAUAGGUGAAGUAAAAAGUAUAGAAAAAUAAAACUUUGAGGAGAUGAUUAGGUUGUUGAGAUGCACACCAAGAUGUCAAAAUUCCGGUAAAGGGAAGACGGAUAGUGAUAUAAUCUGACAGCAUAAAGAAUAUACUCUGAAAUUGAAGAGUUUUUUAGUCCCAGGGCGAUGCAGGGUUUUUAUAUAAUUUUUUUGAAAUAAUAACUUAAAGAGAAUUUUUUGUAUUCUAGAAUUCUUGGAUUCAUCGCAUAUCUUUGCACCAAACUCACCGUAAGCUGAGCCGUAACAAUUACAAAAAACACAUGUGGAUUCAUUGUUGCUUCCUGUUUUCCAACCAAAUUUCUAAAGUAACAUUUAAAAACUUUUAAAAUAAUAAACACAGUUGGUACUAGAUAAGUUAAUGGAAUACAUGCAACAAGUACUGGAAAGGUUAGAAAAUCAAAUUUAUAGUCGAUAUAACGUUGAUCUCCUUGAAUUGAUACAUUGUUCAUAGUGUCCAUAAAUUUAAAUCUGAAAUCUUGAAAAUUUAUUGGCAAACUGAAAUAUGUCAUAAAAAAGUGACCAGAAAUUAAAUUUCUGAAAAAAAAAUGAAAAAAAAAAACGUUUAACCAAGUCUAAUUUGUAUGCUCAUAAGUGCAGUGAAACUUAGACAACGCACGUUUUUCUAGACAUUUCCGUUUCCAAAAUAACCCGAAUUAUCUUGAUUUGAGUAAUCAAUUUUGCGAGGGUUGGAAAAUGUUUCUGACUGGAAAUGUUUCUUUUUGGUGAUUGGAUUAGCGUAAAAAGGUGAGAAGAGAGUGCAUACUUAUUGACUGAAAAUCUGCUAAAAUAGAUUUAAGUUAGAAAUUUAAAGUAUGUUCAUCUACAUCUCUAGAUUAAAACAUUAUAUAUUGUUGCCAAAAAGCUAAGAAAACCGUCAACACGUACAAAACUAUAGUUUCUGCUAGAAUUUUUAAUUUGAAAAUGUCGGGUAAAGAUUACUAGACCACGCGAUUAUGAAAAACCUGGCAGCACACAGUGAUUCAAAACUAAGAGUAAUUAUUGGUAGGGCUCCUCACAAGACAUAAGUACGAAAUAUUAUGCAUUUUAUGAAAAGGCGUUUUAAUGGUUGCAGCAAACAGAAAUUUAAAAAAAGGACAAUGCCUGUGGAGAAUUUUGAAUUAGAAAAUACUGGGAAUUAUAAAUGGUAAACAGCUCAAUAAAAAGGGUAAUGGUUUUUACAAUAUUAAAUUUUGGUUCCGCAAAAAAAUAGGUGAAAAUAUAAUUAUAAUUGACCGUGACAAUUGACCGUAAAUAAUUUUACCGGAAGUUGAGGUUGAUGUAAUUUAAAAUUGUUUCGAAAUCACAAAAAAACUCGUCCAAAAUUUAAAAUUAGAUUUUGGUAAAUUUUUGUUCAACUAACCUAUACAAUCAAGUUUAAAUUCAUGCUAUGGGCCAGGGAAGAAAUAAUUGUAAAUAUUUGUGCAAAUUAGGAAAAGUCUUUCAACGUUUUAAAAUAUUUUUUUAAAACUUUUCUGAGGCUUCAAAAGAUUGGUCACAUUUUUCAAAGUUGCCAAGAUUUCCAUAAAAAAAACUUUGAUAGUAUUUAUUGUGCCCUAACAACUUUUAUUCAAAAAAUCACAAUAAUUGUCUCCUGCUUUCUUGACUAUUCCUGUCCUCCGAAUUUUCUCGAAAAGCCGGAUGAGUUAAAUAGAAUAUCCACGUCACAACACAAGUUUCCAAAUCAUUUCCAAACGGACGAAAGAUUGCAAAAUAGGUUGCAGUCUGCUCAUCAAUUAAAAAGUUUCCCUGAAAAUGCAUAUUUUUAUUUUGAAUAUAUUUCAUUUCUCUUACCAGAAAAACAAGAUUCGUAAUGUAUGCAAGAAUCAUUGAAGUGGCAGUGAGUGUCAAAGAGACUUCUGCUUUUUGGUAGUUGGUGUUCCUGUUUACGUGCAACUGGCUGAAAAUGUGAAAGAAAAAACAGCAUGUUUUCAUGGAAAAGUGAGUACUCACCAUCUAGCUGAGACUUUUAAAUUUCGAAUUUUUCGAUAAAGAAAAUAGUUGGUGAUUAGGCAGAUGAUCAGCCAAAUGAUUGAAUUGAGCACUAGGAAUGGAGCAUUUAUCACCUGAAUUGGAAAAAAAAUUUUCAAUCAGAAAGUGAAUUUUGUUUUAAUACGUUCUUAAAAAUCCAAGAUAGAGGCGGAGCUUGUUUUAGGAUUUUAAGUGUUUUUUUUUUAAUUUUUUAGAAAACAUACUUGUGACCAGAACUUGGUUUUUUGCGUUUCGGCAUUGUUCUUUUGCAAAAAUUCUACACAAAUUUGGUAAAUAAUGCAAUUUUUGAGAUUUUCAAAAAAUUAAAAACUGUACAACCUGGUAAAUUGCUGGCAAAUUUGCCACUUUUGCAAAUUUUCCACAAAAAAAAAUUAAAUUUGCUAACCAGGGCAGUUUUUUUAAUAGUUUUUUGGCAAAAAUGGAUUUUUUUGUUGGUUUUUUGGAGAAAAUCGAUAUUUUUGAAAUUGUUUUAUUGGUCCAAAUUUAUUGCUCACAUUAUGCCAAGAGUCCGUGAAAUGAAUGUAGAGCGAACCGAACUCAUAAGGUCCUCUCAGCUGUCUGCAUACCCCAAUUGCAGGUAACAUGAAAGAAAUAAAAGGAAAUGGAUAUAAAUGGAUAAAUGGGAUACUGUAGCGGAUGAUUUUCUCGUUGAUCUGAAAUAGUCUACUUGAUUUUUAUAUUGGCUGUGUUUUUGUCUGAAUUUGUUUGAAAAUAUCAACGAAGUUGGCAUAUUUCAGAAAAAUCUACUUUGCGUACCUUCUUAUGAUUCAGCGGAUAAUGUAUUGGAACAAAGCGAACAACAUUCAGAAGUACUGGGUAAAUCAUAACUGGAUAUCCAAAGAAUAUUUGUGUCAGGAAGAUAAGAGUCAAGAAUCGACUGGGCUCUUGUUGCUGACACCAUGACGUCAUAAUUCCAGUGGAUGGGAAGCGAAGUGUGAUAAAAUCACCGAUGAAGAAACAGAGACACUGAAAACUUUUUUGGCUGUAGUUCUGAAUAGCUUCGCACAAAAGGGUGUAACCAGUCAGCGUCUUUGGUCACGCCCUGCGUCUAACGCUGAUUGGUCGGGAGUUCCGACUCGGAACCAACUUUAUUUGGGUGUGAAAUCAAAACAUUCAAAUCCUCUAUGUUUUGUUUUUGAAAAAAAACUUACUGAUAGCUGAGUUAGAAUAAUUACUAGAAACACACUUUGAUUAAUAGUUUCAUCAUUUUUUCGGAGUCCUUUUUGAAUAUAAACUUGAAUAAUUCGAAGAAUAGCAUAACAUGUUGGAAUCAUAUAAAUAAAUGGAAUAAAUGCGACAAAGGCCGGAACCGUAAAUGGAUUGAACUGGAAAUCGGUGUAGUUUGAGUUCAAAUUCACAAUCAAUCCAAGUUUCGACGUGUACAUUUCGGCUGGCUGGAAGGAUAAAAUACAUUAAGAUCAUAAUAUAUUUACGUAUGUACCAGGCGGUUAACUUCGUAAAAACAAUCAAUAUUGAUUUUUGUGUUUUAAUUUUUGGUAAUUUUUUACCGUUUUAAUUGAUUUAUAAAUUUUGAGAAAACAUCCAGAAGGUAUUUCAUGUUUAUUUUCAAUAUUUCCAGGCGAACUUGUGAUUCAUAUAUUCAAAACUCGUCGUUGUAAACCCUAUGCCAUCCCGAUUUUCCUAAGGGAUAUAUGGCUAGCGGGCCCUGCGGGCCCGCCAGUUGUAGGGGGUGUAAGGCGAGUCCCCUUGCCGGGCGUAGGCUCUCGGCUUCGCCUCGAACCUGUUAGAGGGUUCGUGAAAAUUUCAGUAGGUCAAUGGGAGUCUUCUUGUUUUUUGAGUUCGGUUUGACCAAAAACAGAUGCACCCGAUGAAUCAGUUAAAGCUGAGUUUUUAUUGAUUGAAGUUUGAGGAGGCUUUAUAUUAGGGGAGACGCACCCAUAUUUUGUAUAAAAUUGAGUAUUUCUAUUCGAAUCCCGAUUACUCACAAAAAACAAAAAAAUUUGCCACUUGGUAGAAUUGAACCAACUACCAAAAUUUCAAACGAAUUUUUGAAAAUUUUAUAACAGGAUUGUACUCAUCAUUAAAUUCCCGAAAAGGAGACGUACAGUUGAGGGCUAUAUCUUGUACACAGACAGAUGUAUAGAAGAAAACAAGUUUUGGCCUGAAAAUUAAUAAAAAUAAUAUCUCUUGGCAGAGUAUUUCUAAUGCAACGAAACUUCAUCUUCCAUUAGAUAAAAUCAAAAACUAUGAAUUAAAAAUACAUUCCGCAAAACUUUAGCGGAAAAAAUGUUCAGGAGACCCAGGAAACCACUCCCCCCAGUACUAAAUUUUUGAAUUAUUUUUUUCUUGAAAAAUUUUCCCACUGAACUUUUUACAAAUUUUAUAUGUCUCGAUGCGUCUUGAUGAGACCUACACGUCAAUUUUUGGAAAACUAAGAAAAAUUGAAAACUGACCGAGUUAUGAUUGAAAAAGUAGAUUCGCGAAAUAGGGGAAGUGUGCAAAAUUUGGCACUUAUUCGUAUUGCUCGGCCGACUCAUAGAACUUUUUCCAAUUCUGAGUUAAAAAUCGUGUUCAGCGUACUUUUUUACGUGGGGUAAACAAAUAAAAUAUCAAAAAAGAUGAAGUAGAACUUGAGAUAAAGACGAAAAACUACUUUUUCGGAAAAAAAAAAUUUUUUUGGCAAAAUGUCAUUUUUUGGCCUUUUGUUUUAUCACAACUUUUUUCCAUUUGCACUUAUGAACUCAAACUUUUUUUCAAAAAUCAGUCUCUCUGAGUAGUAUCUUGCACAGAAAUUUGGAACAAAACCGAGCAAAACCCGAAUUUUAAUUCAAUUAAAACAUGCUUUUUUGGGGGUAAAAAGAGCAACAAAAAUUUUUUUCAAACUGGGGAAAAAUUUUGCUCCGAACUUAGUGCCGUUUUCUGCUCCACCGUGGGACAAAAUAUUUCUAGUAGGAUUUCAAAUAUUAGAGCAUGAAGUCACACGGUUCAGGAGUUGUGAAUGUAAAUGCAGUGUGACAUUUUUUCGCAAGCCAAAAAAAACGCGAAAAAACGCGAAAAAGGGGCGGAGUCUGUACACUCGGCAUUUAUUAGAGGCUGCUUGGCAGAAACUUUUUUUUUGAACAUUGGAUGAAUCUUGGAGAUUUAAAUACAAGGUAAAACACAUUGUCAAUAUUCAAUCAUCAACAAGGUCUCAAGUGUGGGGAGAAUUAACGUGGCCUUUUGGUCAACGUGAACUUAUCCCUUUUAUCGCUUUCUCUUUUUAUUUAUUACUUAUUUAUACACGUCUCAUCUUCUCUCUUCUCAUCAUCAAUGCACUAAAUG